UACGUAGGUGGCGAGCGUUGUCCGGAUUUACUGGGCGUAAAGGGCGUGCAGGCGGUUUGUUAAGUGCAGGGUGAAAGCUCCCGGCUCAACUGGGAGAGGUCCUUGCAUACUGGCGAACUCGAGGGAGGCAGAGGAAAGUGGAAUUCCCGGUGUAGUGGUGAUAUGCGUAGAUAUCAGGAGGAACACCGAUGGCGAAGGCAGCUCGCUGGGACGGUACUGACGCUGAGGCGCGAAAGCGUGGGGAGCAAACAGG
rnacentral:rRNA from 1 species